UGGUAACAACUAGAACUGAAAUAAAUCUUGUUCUUCCUGAUUGAGUUAUCAAACAGUACACAACGCGCGGCAAAGGAUUUAAAAAACAGUCUGAGAAACGUCUAGUUUAAGUUGUAUAUAGAUAUAAGAAGCUGUGGUACAAGUGCCGGUGAGACAACUCUUCAUCCAAGUCAAAAUUUAUAAAUGUAAGCCAUUAUAGGUCAAAGUACGGUCUUCAACACGGAGCCUUGGCUCAAACCGAACAGAAAGCCAUAAAGGGCCCCAAAAAUGACUAGUGUAAAACCAUUUAAAGUCUAACCUAUUUUAAAAAAACGUAUACAAUGUACUUGCAUAUAUAUCUAUAUACAAUGGAAUUUUUUAAAA
rnacentral:lncRNA from 1 species